UUGGAGGGCAAGUCUGGUGCCAGCAGCCGCGGUAAUUCCAGCUCCAAUAGCGUAUAUUAAAGUUGUUGCAGUUAAAAAGCUCGUAGUUGAAUUUCGGGGUUCUACCGUUGGUCGGGCUUUGUCUGUACUGGUGUGUAGAAUUUCUACCUUCUGGGGAACCAUCAUGCUAUUAAUUUAGCGUGGUGGGAAACCAGGACCUUUACCUUGAAAAAAUUAGUGUGUUCAAAGCAGGCUUAUGUCUGAAUACAUUAGCGUGGAAUAAUAGAAUAGGACGGUGGUCCUGUUUUGUUGGUUUCUGAAUCACCGUAAUGAUUAAUAGGGAUAGUUGGGGGCAUUAGUAUUCAAUUGUCAGAGGUGAAAUUCUUGGAUUUAUUGAAGACUAACUUCUGCGAAAGCAUUUGCCAAGGAUGUUUUCAUUAAUCAAGAACGAGAGUUAGGGGAUCGAAGACGAUCAGAUACCGUCGUAGUCUUAACCAUAAACUAUGCCGACUAGGGAUCGGACGAUGUUAAUUUUUCUUGACUCGUUCGGCGCCUUACGGGAAAC
rnacentral:rRNA from 1 species